rnacentral:lncRNA from 1 species
AUGGCCGCCUGCCCGUCGGAGGAGAAGCAGGAGCAGGAGCAGCCCCGGCUCUGCCCGCAGCGGGGUCCUGGCUCAGCCCUGCGUCGCCCGGCGAAGCCGUACGCUCGCCCCUGUGCUCCUCCGGGCUGGGUGGGGGAGGUCUACGGGGGGGAGCGGGGCCGGGGCCACCGGCCUGGCUGCUUCACGCGUGCCAGAGCGCUUGGUAACACGUUUUACUGCGCCCUUCGCCGCCCACGUUCCCCUCUGAACCCGCAGGGUGCCGGGCUUCGUCAUCCCCAACCCCCAAAAGUGGUUUCUUUUCAGUCUCACGGUCGCCAAGACGGAGGAUCCCGACAAAAAAAAAAAACCCCAUCCCCGUGUCGCGGGGAUCAGCGCAAAAGCGUUGCGCUCCGCGUCCAGAGCUUGCAUCAGCAAACCGCCUCCGGUUUGCUCCCAGCCGCGCCGCCCGAGCAUCCGUCGCGGCCUGGCCUGCGGCAUCGCUGCCCCGUCCUCGCCCCGGUUCGCACGUCCCCGUGCAGGGCCUGGCGUCGGCCCGUGGCCUCCCGCCCGCCGCUUCCCCGCGCGGCUCCAGGGGAGACCCCUGCCUGCGAGGAUCCGCCGCCGCUCGCGAUAAAAACCCCACGUGCUUUUUUUUUUAUCCGACGGCAGCAGCUGGAGGGGGACGUGUUCUUGGGGAGGGAGGGAGGAGGCUGCCCGCCAGCCGCCUGUGCGCCGCUUCUGGGGGAGCGGGGAGAUGUGGGCCUGGAGGCUGGGGGUGUCGGAGAGCAAGCGGUAGUGGUUUCCGCCACUGGGAACGCGGCACGUUUCCCUGGGAAAGGUGGGGAUGGAGGGUGCGGUGCGUGGGUCCCAGUGUGGGUGACGCCAGGCUCGUGUCCCAGCAGGAAAAUCGGAGCGUUCCACCUUGCUUCCCGCGGCCAGCCAGGAAUAGCUGCUGCUGGCUUUGCCCUUCAGCAUUGCCAACGGAGCAGAAUAUUCCACUGGGCAGCAGAAAUGCCAUUCGUUCCCAGCCGGCGGGCCGAGGUCUGCCGCCUCCCCAGAGACGCUCUCUGCUUGUGUCCGUAA